rnacentral:rRNA from 1 species
CCUACGGGGGGCAGCAGUGAGGAAUAUUGGUCAAUGGGCGCGAGCCUGAACCAGCCAAGUCGCGUGAGGGAAGACGGUCCUAUGGAUUGUAAACCUCUUUUGUCGGGGAGCAAAAGACGCCACGCGUGGCGUUUCGAGAGUACCCGAUGAAUAAGCAUCGGCUAACUCCGUGCCAGCAGCCGCGGUAAUACGGAGGAUGCGAGCGUUAUCCGGUUUUAUUGGGUUUAAGGGGGGCGAAGGCGGAAGAUCAAGUCAGCGGUAAAAUUGAGGGGCUCAACCCCUUCGAGCCGUUGAAACUGGUUUUCUUGAGUGAGUGGGAAGUAGGCGGAAUGCGUGGUGUAGCGGUGAAAUGCAUAGAUAUGACGCAGAACUCCGAUUGCGAAGGCAGCUUGCCGGCGCUCAACUGACGCUCAUGCACGAAAGUGUGGGUAUCGAACAGGAUUAGAUACCCUUGUAGUC